AUAAUAAUGACGAAGAAGCAAGAACAAAAGCCCCUAGACUCGAUCCUAGUCGAUCGGCUAGAACUAGGCGCGAUCGACCAAUCAACAAGUUAAAACACUAAAUCAACCAAGUCAGCAACAUCAACCAUGGUGAUGAUGGUGAAGUCCUCCUCC